AUUGAACGCUGGCGGAAUGCUUUACACAUGCAAGUCGAGCGGCAGCGCGGGGCAACCUGGCGGCGAGCGGCGAACGGGUGAGUAAUGCAUCGGAACGUACCCCGUCGUGGGGGAUAACUACCCGAAAGGGUAGCUAAUACCGCAUACGACCUGAGGGUGAAAGCGGGGGACCGAAAGGCCUCGCGCGAUGGGAGCGGCCGAUGCCGGAUUAGCUAGUUGGUGGGGUAAAAGCCUACCAAGGCGACGAUCCGUAGCUGGUCUGAGAGGACGAUCAGCCACACUGGGACUGAGACACGGCCCAGACUCCUACGGGAGGCAGCAGUGGGGAAUCUUAGACAAUGGGCGCAAGCCUGAUCUAGCCAUGCCGCGUGAGCGAUGAAGGCCUUAGGGUUGUAAAGCUCUUUCAGUGGGGAAGAUAAUGACUGUACCCACAGAAGAAGCCCCGGCUAACUCCGUG
rnacentral:rRNA from 1 species